rnacentral:rRNA from 1 species
UACGGAGGGUGCGAGCGUUAUCCGGAAUUACUGGGUUUAAAGGGUGCGUAGGCGGCUAUGUAAGUCAGGAGUGAAAGUUUGCGGCUCAACCGUAGAAUUGCUUUUGAUACUGCAUAGCUAGAAUUAGGAUGAGGUCAGCGGAAUGUGGCAUGUAGCGGUGAAAUGCAUAGAUAUGCCAUAGAACACCAAUUGCGAAGGCAGCUGGCUAGACCUGGAUUGACGCUGAGGCACGAAAGCGUGGGGAGCGAACAGG